rnacentral:rRNA from 1 species
AUUGAACGCUGGCGGCAGGCCUAACACAUGCAAGUCGAACGAGUGGCGGACGGGUGAGUAACGUCUGUGAAACUGCCUGAUGGAGGGGGAUAACUACUGGAAACGGUAGCUAAUACCGCAUACCAUCGGAUGUUCCCAGAUGGGAUUAGCUAGUAGGUGGGGUAAAGGCUCACCGAGGCGAAGAUCCCUAGCUGGUCUGAGAGGAUGACCAGCCACACGGGAACUGAGACACGGUCCAGACGCCUACGGGAGGCAGCAGUGGGGAAUAUGGAACAAUGGGCGCAAGCCUGAUGCAGCCAUGCCGCGUGUAUGAAGAAGGCCUUCGGGUUGUAAAGUACUUUCAGCGGGGAGGCGUUACCCGCAGAAGAAGCACCGGCUAACGCCGGGCCAGCAGCCGCGGUAAUUC